rnacentral:rRNA from 1 species
AACGUAGGACGCAAGCGUUAUCCGGAGUUACUGGGCGUAAAGGGCGGGCAGGUGGUCUGUCAAGUGGGGUGUGAAAGCUCCCGGCUUAACCGGGAGAGGCCAUUCCAGACUGACAGACUGGAGGGCAGGAGAGGUAGGCGGAAUUCCGGUGUAGCGGUGAAAUGCGUAGAUAUCGGAAGGAACAUCAGUGGCGAAAGCGGCUACCUGGCCCAUUCUUAGACGCUGAGGCGCGAAAGCUAGGGGAGCAACGGG